CAGUCGCCGCGGGAAUACGAAGGGGGCUAGCGUUGUUCGGAUUAACUGGGCGUAAAGGGCGCGUAGGCGGGUUUUUAAGUCAGAGGUGAAAUCCCAAGGCUCAACCUUGGAAUUGCCUUUGAUACUGGAAGUCUUGAGUCCGGGAGAGGUGAGUGGAACUGCGAGUGUAGAGGUGAAAUUCGUAGAUAUUCGCAAGAACACCAGUGGCGAAGGCGGCUCACUGGCCCGGUACUGACGCUGAGGCGCGAAAGCGUGGGGAGCAAACAGGAUUAGAUACCCGUGUAGUCCCUGUCUCUUAUAC
rnacentral:rRNA from 1 species